rnacentral:tRNA from 1 species
GGUGGUUGUAGCUCAGUUGGUUAGAGCGAUAGAUUGUGGAUCUAUAGGUCGUGGGUUCAAGCCCCAUCUUCCACCC